GAGCGAACGGGACCGCGGCGGGAAGGGGAGCGGAGGCCCAGUAGUGCCUGACAAGCACCGUUUCCCCAGGGCGGAGGGAAGCGGUUCAGGCUUUGCCGGUCCCCCCAGAAGGGCUCUGAAGUUUUUCCAGCUUUUCAUUGUUAAAACAGAGGUUUUGGGAUG